UAGGCUUUUGCCAAGAUUAGACAUCUUGGCGAAUAAGGGGUGGGCAAGACCGGUGCCAGCCGCCGCGGUAACACCGGCGCCCCAAGUGGCAAUCGCGUUUAUUGGGCCUAAAGCGUCCGUAGCCGGACUGAUAAAUCCUUUGUGAAAUKGUUGCGCUUAACGUAACGGCGUGCAGGGGACACUGUUAGUCUCGAGACCGGGAGGAGUAAGAGGUAUUCCUGGGGGASUGGUAAAAUGGUAUAAUCCCAGGWAGACCACCGAUGGCGAAGGCAUCUKACCAGAACGGAUCUGACGGUGAGGGACGAAAGCCAGGGGAGCGAACCGGAUUAGAUACCCGAGUAGUCCUGGCCGUAAACGCUGYGAGCUAGGUGUUGCCCAUCCUACGAGGAUGUGCAGUGUCGAARCGAAGGUGAUAAGCUCGCCGCCUGGGAAGUA
rnacentral:rRNA from 1 species